rnacentral:rRNA from 1 species
ACACCGGCAGCCCGAGUGGUGGCCGCUAUUAUUGGGCCUAAAGCGUCCGUAGCCGGGUGGGUAAGUCCCUGUGGAAAUCCUCAGGCUUAACCUGAGGAAGUGCGGGGAUACUGCCCGCCUUGGGGCCGGGAGACGCGGAGGGUACUCCAGGGGUAGCGGUGAAAUGCUGUAAUCCCUGGGGGACCACCAGUGGCGAAGGCGCUCCGCGAGAACGGGCCCGACGGUGAGGGACGAAAGCCAGGGGAGCGAACGGGAUUAGAAACCCUAGUAGUCC